UAUAAUCCGGCUGCUAAGAUGAAAUCAAAAUUUUCAAAAUUCUUAUCUUUGAUUUUGUUCCUAAUUUCCUGAAAUUGAAAUUUCAAAUGCUGAUAGCAAGAAAUCAACGAUCAUCGAUAAAUCAGCACACUAAUAGCAAGAAAUCAGGAUUCAAUCUCCAAAUUUGAAUUGGCCUUUUGCCAACUUCGUAUAUAACUCGAACGCACGUUCAUCUCCAACAAAGCUAAGCAUCUCCUUCACGUUCGUCUCUCUUAUUUCAGUUAAGAUUCACUCAUGUGUCUCUAAUCUUCUAUUCUUAGUAUGCGUCCGGUCACGAUCUGAUUGUUGAUACUUCCUUUCCCCGCCCUGUCCAUCGUCUUCAUCAUUUUCAUUAAUUUUAAUUAGUUUUGCGUUAUGUCAUAUUGGAUUCAAUUUAAUCUUUUCUUUACUCCUCAAGAUUAUAUUCGUUCUUCAUGGGGUGAAAGCAAAAGGGGAGAUACUGCCUCGUAGGUUGCUAAAAAGAGAUUUUUUAUGGAAGUGGAGACUGUGUGAUAAUCCAAAGGGCCAUCUUUUGCAUAUGAUUUGCGUUCACCAAACAAUAGAAAAUCACUUGAUCUCGAUGUCCAAGAAUGCUUUUCAAGAUUUCAAUAAAAACGUUUGAUUUGUCUCUAAAGGCAAACGUGAUGGGGAAGACAAAAAUAGAGGCUCGACAAGUGUUACUUUUAGUUACAGGUAAUGCUUACAAGGUGUUCGUGUAAAUGCCUAAGAGAAGAACCUAAUUUUUAUCUUUUUCCACUGCUAAUAGUUCAUAUUAGUACAUGUUCUCUUUCCAUUUGCUGGUGAUUUUGGAUUGAAUAGGGAUGUUUGUACGUUGUAACUUUACUUCAAUCUUGACAGUUCUGUUAAACACCUUCUUCUUCACAUAUUUGGGUACGUGUGUAAACGCUUUAACUGUUUUUUUAAACAUUUAAUAUGUUUAUUUCUUACUGUUUUUUCAUCUUAGAGAUUAUAUGAGUUUAUUAGUGGGUAUACAAUUGUUUAGGCAUUUGCUUUGUUAAAUAUGUAAGCUUUCAUGUUACUUUUAUGUUACAACAAUCUGAUUAGUGCAUUAAGCUUAUAAAAUUGGUUAUUUUAUAUAUCA